CACGGGGGGAGCAAGCGUUGUUCGGAAUCACUGGGCGUAAAGGGCGUGUAGGCGGUUUGGUAAGUGAGAUGUGAAAUGCUUCGGCUCACCCGAAGACCUGCAUCUCAAACUGCCGGACUAGAGUAUGGGAGAGGACAAGGGAAUUCCUGGUGUAGCGGUGAAAUGCGUAGAUAUCAGGAGGAACACCGGUGGCGAAAGCGCUUGUCUGGCCCAAUACUGACGCUGGAGGCGCGAAAGCUAGGGGAGCAAACGGG
rnacentral:rRNA from 1 species